UAAUUCAACUUUUAUUAACACUCUAGACAGUUUACACUGUAACAAGAGGCAGACAAAUAAUACAAGUAAUAAUUUACAAUGGUGAACAAGAUAGAAAGAAAUAUACAUACAUAGUUCAUUAUAUCUAAUUCUCUGUACACAAGUAUACACAUACAUAACACGUGAUAAUUAUUCAAAGCUAUAAUAAUGGGAGCUGAGAUAGCCAGUCGAUUACAUGUAAGUG
rnacentral:lncRNA from 1 species